GCCGGGCUUGGAGGCGCACGCCUGUCAUCCCAGCAGCUCGGGAGGCUGAGGCAGGAGGAUCGCGAGUUCAAAGCCAGCCUCAGCCAAAGGGAGGCCCUGAGCAGCUCAGGGAGACCCUGUCUCUA
rnacentral:sRNA from 1 species